GCGGGAGUAGCUCAGUGGUAGAGCAUCAGCCUUCCAAGCUGAGGGUCGCGGGUUCGAGCCCCGUCUCCCGCUCCA
rnacentral:tRNA from 1 species